GGGGGCGCACUGGUUUCGACGGGGUCGUGGAGACUGGGAAAGCGGGUAGAGGAUUCUCGUUGGCCUCUUUAAAAAACGAGAACUGCAAGUAAUUGCAAACAACAAUCAACUCGUAGCUGCUUAAUUUAGCUACCAUCUCCCCGGUCUAUCUGUCGGCCGGACCGGAGAUGUCAGAUGACAGACCUUACCUGUCGGCAGGUUAAACGGGACAACGUCUUUGGCAAAGCUUUGCGUCACUGAUGUAUCUAUGAAGCUACCGGAGUCAGCUUCCUGUUCGUGGGAUCGCCGACGAGGGGAAUACUCCAUACACGAACUGCACCCGGAGAUGUCCUUGUUAACGUGGUUUCGGACAGGAGUUCGAUUCUCCUCGCCUCCACCA
rnacentral:tmRNA from 1 species